rnacentral:tRNA from 2 species
GGGCCCGUAGCUCAGCCAGGUAGAGCGGCGGGCUCUUAACGUAAUAUAUACAGGGUAGAGGAGAUACCCGUAGGUCCCGGGUUCAAAUCCCGGCGGGCCCG